rnacentral:RNase_P_RNA from 1 species
UGGGUCGGCAAGACGGUCGCGUCGGUCCGCGUCAGCGGGCCGCCGAGGAACGUCCGGGCUCCGCAGAGCAGGGCGGUGGGUAACACCCACCCGGGGCAACCCGCGAGAAAGUGCAACAGAAAGCAGACCGCCUGCGGCGCGAGCCGCAGGUAAGGGUGAAACGGUGGUGUAAGAGACCACCAGCGGCCGGGGUGACCCGGCCGGCUGGGUAAACCUCGCCCGGAGCAAGGUCGUACAGGGGACCAUGAGGCUGCUCGUCUCGUCCCCGGGUAGACCGCUGGAGGGCGGCGGCAACGCCGUCCCGAGAUAGAUGGCCGUCCGCGGCGCCGACAGGCGCCGUGACAGAACCCGGCGUAUCAGCCGGCCCAUUCC